rnacentral:rRNA from 1 species
UACAGAGGUCUCAAGCGUUGUUCGGAUUCAUUGGGCGUAAAGGGCGUGUAGGCGGUUUGUUAAGUCAUGUGUGAAAUCCCUCGGCUCAACCAAGGAAGUGCAUCCGAAACUGCUGAGCUUGAGUACUUAAGAGGAUCGCGGAAUUCCCGGUGUAGAGGUGAAAUUCGUAGAUAUCGGGAGGAACACCAGUGGCGAAGGCGGCGAUCUGGGAAGAUACUGACGCUGAGGUGCGAAAGCGUGGGGAGCAAACAGG